CCUACGGGAGGCUGCAGUGAGGAAUAUUGGUCAAUGGGCGCGAGCCUGAACCAGCCAAGUAGCGUGAAGGAUGACUGCCCUACGGGUUGUAAACUUCUUUUAUAAAGGAAUAAAGUGAGGCACGUGUGCCCUUUUGUAUGUACUUUAUGAAUAAGGAUCGGCUAACUCCGUUCAAGCAGCCGCGGUAAUACGGAGGAUCCGAGCGUUGUACGGAUUUAUUGGGUUUAAAGGGAGCGUAGAUGGGUUGUUAAGUCAGUUGUGAAAGUUUGCGGCUCAACCGUAAAAGUGCAAUUGAUACUGGCAGCCUUGAGUACAGUUGAGGUAGGAGGAAUUCGUGGUGUAGCGGUGAAAUGCUUAGAUAUCACGAAGAACUCCGAUUGCGAAGGCAGCUUACUAAACUGCCACUGACAUUGAUGCUCGAAAGUGUGGGUAUCAAACAGGAUUAGAUACCCCAGUAGUC
rnacentral:rRNA from 1 species